rnacentral:rRNA from 1 species
GUGGGGAAUAUUGGACAAUGGGGGCAACCCUGAUCCAGCCAUGCCGCGUGUGUGAAGAAGGCCUUCGGGUUGUAAAGCACUUUAAGCAGGGAGGAAGGCUCGUGCGCUAAUACCGUACGGGAUUGACGUUACCUGCAGAAUAAGCACCGGCUAACUCCGUGCCAGCAGCCGCGGUAAUACGGAGGGUGCAAGCGUUUAUCGGAAUUACUGGGCGUAAAGCGCGCGUAGGCGGCUUGAUAAGUCGGAUGUGAAAUCCCCGGGCUCAACCUGGGAACUGCAUCCGAUACUGUUGAGCUGGAGUACGAUAGAGGAUGGUAGAAUUUCUAGUGUAGCGGUGAAAUGCGUAGAUAUUAGAAGGAAUACCGGUGGCGAAGGCGGCCAUCUGGAUCGAUACUGACGCUGAGGUGCGAAAGCGUGGGGAUCAAACAGGAUUAGAUACCCUAGUAGUCC